rnacentral:rRNA from 1 species
UACGUAGGGGGCUAGCGUUGUCCGGAAUCGUUGGGCGUAAAGAGCGUGUAGGCGGCCCGGUAAGUCCGCUGUGAAAGUCGGGGGCUCAACCCUCGAAUGCCGGUGGAUACUGUCGGGCUAGAGUGCGGAAGAGGCGAGUGGAAUUCCUGGUGUAGCGGUGAAAUGCGCAGAUAUCAGGAGGAACACCGAUUGCGAAGGCAGCUCGCUGGGACGUAACUGACGCUGAGACGCGAAAGCGUGGGGAGCAAACAGG